UGCGCAGGCGGACCUAUCAGUCAGCGGUGAAAUCUCUCGGCUCAACCGGGAAACUGCCAUUGAUACUGUAGGUCUUGAGUUUGGUUGAAGUGGGCGGAAUGUAGCAUGUAGCGGUGAAAUGCAUAGAUAUGCUACAGAACACCGAUCGCGAAGGCAGCUCACUAAACCAAAACUGACGCUCAGGCACGAAAGCGUGGGGAGCGAACAGGAUUAGAUACCCUGGUAGUCC
rnacentral:rRNA from 1 species